rnacentral:rRNA from 1 species
CGAUUACGGGGCGCAGCAGGCGCGAAACCUCCGCAAUGGGCGAAAGCCCGACGGGGUCAGUCCGAGUGGCUCCCGCUAAGGGAGUCUUUUGCCAGCUGUAAAAAGGCUGGCGAAUAAGGGGUGGGCAAGUCUGGUGUCAGCCGCCGCGGUAAUACCAGCACCCCGAGUGGUCGGGACGAUUAUUGGGCCUAAAGCAUCCGUAGCCGGUGUAGCAAGUCCUCCGUUAAAUCCACUUGCUCAACAAGUGGGCUGCGGAGGAUACUGCUACACUAGGGGGCGGGAGAGGCGAGGGGUAUUCCACGGGUAGGGGUAAAAUCCUCUGAUCCGUGGAGGACCACCAGUGGCGAAGGCGCCUCGCCAGAACGCGCCCGACGGUGAGGGAUGAAAGCUGGGGGAGCAAACCGGAUUAGAUACCCGGGUAGUCCCAGCCGUAAACGAUGUAGGCUCGGUGAUGGGCUGGCUCCGAGCCAGCCCAGUGCCGCAGGGAAGCCGUUAAGCCUACCGCCUGGGGAGUACGGCCGCAAGGCUGAAACUUAAAGGAAUUGGCGGGGGAGCACCACAAGGGGUGAAGCCUGCGGUUCAAUUGGAGUCAACGCCG